CCCAAGGAUGGGGCCGCGGCCGAUCAGGUUGUUGGUGAGGUAACGGCUCACCAAGCCUUUAACCGGUGCGGGCCGCGGGAGCGGGAGCCCGGAGAUGGGCACUGAGACAAGGGCCCAGGCCCUACGGGGCGCAGCAGUCGCGAAAACUUCGCAAUAAGCGAAAGCUUGACGGGGCUAUCCCGAGUGCCAUCCGCUGAGGAUGGCUUUUCCCUAGUAUAGAUAGCUGGGGGAAAAAGGAGAGGGCAAGUCUGGUGUCAGCCGCCGCGGUAAUACCAGCUCUCCGAGUGGUGGGGAUGAUUAUUGGGCCUAAAGCAUCCGUAGCCGGCUGGGCAAGUCCCCUGUUAAACCCAGCGAUCUAAUCGUUGGCCUGCGGGGGAUACUGCUUGGCUAGGGGGCGAGAGAGGCCGUCGGUAUUCCCGGGGUAGGGGUGAAAUCCUAUAAUCCCGGGAGGACCACCAGUGGCGAAGGCUGUCGGCUAGAACGCGCCCGACGGUGAGGGAUGAAAGCUGGGGGAGCGAACCGGAUUAGAUACCCGGGUAGUCCCAGCUGUAAACGAU
rnacentral:rRNA from 1 species